AAGUGCGGUUUUAAAGUGUCUACUGGAUAUUCGCAAAAUUUUUCAGGAAAACGACCCAGCUUAACAUUCUAAACAAUCCCUACGUCUCAGACUACUGUGUGUGGAUUCAGAAAGCCAAGGAAGUUUUGAGUUCCUUGCGAAUUUUACAUACUCCUGUCUCUGGAACACCUGCUUACCCAGCAGGAAGAAAAUGAAAUAACCUGGAGUAUAAGUUUUAAUGAAAGAGAAACCCCAGAUAGCUACCAAACACUGGAAGAAUUGACUGGAUCAAUGUGGGGAGCUUGGUGAACUUGCUUAGAGAAGAGGUGCAGACGGUGAAAAGGAAAUUUUACCAGAAAAAACUGGUACAGCCUGGAAGAUAGGUGUUAAAGCAGACAGUGGAUUCAAUGGUCCCAAUUUAAAGGCUAUUUUAUUUUCAAACUGGAGAAAGUGCUGGUUGAUUUCAGAACUUCAGCUCCUGAACCAAGAGGUCCUCCCAACCCUAUGUGGAAUAUAUUCCCUUUGAUGAAAUGAAGGAAAGAGUACUGAAAACUGUCACUGGAUUUAAUGGACUGGCCCUGAGCUAACAUCCGUGCCCAUCUUCCUCCACUUUAUAUGGGAUGCCGCCACAGCAUGGCUUGACAAGCAGUGCGUCAGUGUGCACCCAGGAUCCGAACCUGGGAACCCCAGGCCCCCGCAGCGGAGCGCACGCACUUAACCGCUUGCGCCACCGGGCCAGCCCCCUUAUUGGCUUCCUUAUGAAUUGUGAUUUCAUAUCCUUUUUUGUUUUUCUUAUCUUUUGGUGAUUUUCUAAUUGUUAAGUUUAUUUUGUUGUUGUUUUGGUUUGCUUUUAAUUAGUAUAAAAGCUCUAUAUUAAACGCUUUGUAGUAUUUUGCCAUGAAAAAGAUUAUUCAUCUUUUCUUUUUGAAGUGGAAAUUGUCCAUUCACUUGUUUGCUUGAUUUCCUGAGCUGUAAGCUUCUGGAGAGCAGAUGGUAACUGUCUGUUCCAAACAAGGCCUAGAACAGUGAAUACCUGAACAUAGGAGGUUCUCAAACAAACAAGUACUGAAUGAACGAGUGAAAGGAAGAAGAGCUCGGUUCUGUAUCUGUGUGUUGUUUAACGGGGCAUGGUAGAUAGAAUUACAUAGUUGAAUACUUCUUUUUUUUUAGUUAUAUUUUCUUGUGCUUUCAAAAUUACUUUUGAACUUUAAA